AAGUUUCAACAAUCGAUAUAUCAAACAAACAAAUUCCAACUUUUUUCUGGGGCAAACUGGUUUUAUUGCAUCAAACAAUGUAGAAAUUAGGACAGUAUUCCACUCUUACUUAUUUGAAAUAUGUAAUUUGAAUAAUGCAUUCCCAAACAAGUUUGGAAAUAUAUAAUUAUGAAUAAUCGAAUAUCGAUGAUAUAUUGAUAUUUUCAUAGUAGGUUUAUCGAUAAUGGGUUUAGGGGUUUAGUUCCCAUCAAUUUAGAUUGAUGGGAAGGCGGUUGUUGGUCAAUGCCCAGGGAAUGCUUCGGGUUCGGCAUUGUAACAUUUAGAUCGUAACGGUUUUUUGGUAUCUGUUGUUUUGUGAUUUUUGUGAAAGAUCAGGUUUAAGGAGGCUAAGGCUGUUAAACAAUUUAAAAAAGAGGCAAUGAAUUCAACACAAAAGAACUUUUGAAUUUGACAACACAGACCAAGAGGAAAAGUUUCAAAAGAAGCCUGUUUGUAAAAAGUGAUGAUGAUGUCUGCGAGAGUGAUUAUGAAGCAUCGCUGGUAGACAACAGCGACGAUGAAGUUGUGCCAAAAAAAAGUAUAUAAUCCUAAAAAAAAAAACAUGAAGACCUAAAAAGGAAAGAAGAAGACAGAUAUAAGUCGUUGAGUUCUAAAUACAGAAAAGUCAAGGAUCAGUUGGAAAAAGUAUCUGAGUUUAAUAUAAUACUUGAAACAAAACUUUUAAAACCUACUAUUCUAACCAAAUCAGAAACAAAUAUUGAUGUAAGUGAUCAAACACCAAAAAUUCCUGCUUCGAUUGGUGAAAGCAUUUUCUUGAGUACAAUGACGACAUCACCCAAAGGAAGCUCAAGCAAACAUUCGCCACCAUCUACUCUGUGUACAUUUCCAGAAAUGAAUCUGACAAAACUUACUGAAAUGGAGGAAUCUUUUACUAAAUGUUCAAACGACGGAUCCUCCAGGAGAAUCCGAAUGCUUCGAGAAGUGAGAUGGAAUUAAGAUGCGCUAGCAUUAACCAGUACAUUGCUCAAAAGAUCGCAACCCUAAACAGAAAAAGCUUCAAAUCUCCUGGAGCACACCCAGAUAAGGACAUAUUAAUUCAUGAAUAAUAUAUAUGCAAUUUAAUGUUUCUUCAUAAAUAAUAUAAUAAUAUAUGAGCUACUUUAAUAAUCAAUUUGCAUUUUA